rnacentral:tRNA from 1 species
GUUUUGAUAGUUUAAACAAUAAAACUUUGGUCUUGUAAAUCAAAAAUGAACCUUUCUAAUAUUCUCAAAACU